ACUGUUUCACUUUAGCCUCUUUCCAACCAGGUAGUUACAGGAACGUAGUUAAAGGAACAGUCCACUUCUAAACAGUUCUACUACCUACUCUCCCCCAAAACCGGUUUACCAUUUGCAUUCACACUGGCCAAGUGGCCACAGGAACUGAUCUUUUGUUAUUAUAACACAGCCAUCUAACCAUCACUAUGCGGAAAGGGAAAAGACCCUGCCCUGAAGUAGGAGCUGAAAGAGUUAAA